rnacentral:rRNA from 1 species
ACAGAGGUGGCAAGCGUUGUUCGGAAUUAUUGGGCGUAAAGCGUGCGCAGGCGGCUAUGCAAGACAGGUGUGAAAUCCCCGGGCUUAACCUGGGAACUGCACUUGUGACUGCAUGGCUAGAGUGCGUCAGAGGGAGGUGGAAUUCCGCGUGUAGCAGUGAAAUGCGUAGAGAUGCGGAGGAACACCAGAGGCGAAGGCGACACCCUGGGCCGUACCUGACGCUAAGACGCGACAGCACGGGGAGCGAACGG